GCUUUUAUGGUUUAAUGGUAUAAUUAGGAUUAAUAGGUCCUAAAUAAGGGUUCGAUUUCCUUUUAAGGCG